rnacentral:rRNA from 1 species
UACGGAGGGGGCUAGCGUUGUUCGGAAUUACUGGGCGUAAAGCGCACGUAGGCGGAUUGGAAAGUCAGGGGUGAAAUCCCGGGGCUCAACCCCGGAACGGCCUUUGAAACUCCCAGUCUAGAGGUCGAGAGAGGUGAGUGGAAUUCCGAGUGUAGAGGUGAAAUUCGUAGAGAUUCGGAGGAACACCAGUGGCGAAGGCGGCUCACUGGCUCGAUUCUGACGCUGAGGUGCGAAAGAGUGGGGAGCAAACAGG